ACCAGAGUGGAGGCUUGAAUGGCUUCCAUAAGGCUCAUAUAUUUGAGUGUCGGUCUUUGCAGCUGUAAUACCACCUUUGAUAUUACUACCAAGAAUGCUAGGUGUUAUAGAGGCUGAACAUACCUGCCCAGUGUACUGAUUCAUUUUUGUGUGUCGACUUGACACAAGCUGGAGUUAUCACAGAGAAAGGAGCCUCCCUUGAGGAAAUGCCUCCAUGAGAUCCAGCUGUAAGACCUCCCUUAGAUAAAGUCUUCUUAUCAUCUCGGUCUCCAGGAGGUACCACUGGACAUAGAAAGCAAAUGGAGAGACAUGGCAAGGAGAAAGGAUGUCAGUACUGAAGCUACUGCUAAGAGCCAAGAAAGGGGCUGGAAAGAGGACUCAGCUGUCAAGAACACUUGCUUCCUUCCAGACAACUCAGGUUCAACUCCCAGAAUCUUCGUAGGGGCUCACAACUGUGUGAACCUCCAGUCCCAGGGGGGAAUCUGAAACCUCUUCUGGUCUGUGCAAGCACCAGGCACAAAAGUGGUACACAGAUACACACAGAAGCUAAACACCCAUACACAUAAAAUAAAAAUGUAAAAAGGAUGAAUUAAGAGUCCUGUAAACACCACAGGAAGAUGAUGCUCAGAGCCCCCGAGUACCUGACUGUUCUUGCCAUGGAUUCAUGGGACAGAACCAGGUAAUAUCCAGUAUGUAAGAACUUGAGCAUAGUAGAUACUCAGAAUGUGAGUUUGUCGUUGAUUUGUCAUUGAUUUAAAAACAAAUAGAAACAGGACAAUGUGUGAGCGUAAACACCUACGUGACAGGCAAGUCGGACAUUGAUUGUUGGUACAACCAUGUGCAAGAGUCGCUUGGCUACUUUCACUUCCUAUAAACUGUGUUAUUAUAAGAAAACUUUAAUGGGAAAGAGAACCUGAGAUUUCCCACCAUGUAUUCCAAGAUUCAAAAGGAUAAUAGAAACCAGUACUUAGAGGUAA
rnacentral:lncRNA from 1 species